rnacentral:rRNA from 2 species
AAGGCUUUCGGGUCGUAAAACUCUGUUGUUAGGGAAGAACAAGUACAAGAGUAACUGCUUGUACCUUGACGGUACCUAACCAGAAAGCCACGGCUAACUACGUGCCAGCAGCCGCGGUAAUACGUAGGUGGCAAGCGUUAUCCGGAAUUAUUGGGCGUAAAGCGCGCGCAGGCGGUUUCUUAAGUCUGAUGUGAAAGCCCACGGCUCAACCGUGGAGGGUCAUUGGAAACUGGGGAACUUGAGUGCAGAAGAGAAAAGCGGAAUUCCACGUGUAGCGGUGAAAUGCGUAGAGAUGUGGAGGAACACCAGUGGCGAAGGCGGCUUUUUGGUCUGUAACUGACGCUGAGGCGCGAAAGCGUGGGGAGCAAACAGGAUUAGAUACCCUGGUAGUCCACGCCGUAAACGAUGAGUGCUAAGUGUUAGAGGGUUUCCGCCCUUUAGUGCUGCAGCUAACGCAUUAAGCACUCCGCCUGGGGAGUACGGUCGCAAGACUGAAACUCAAAG